rnacentral:pre_miRNA from 1 species
AGCUUUCUGAAUCCCUGUCGAGAUCUCGUCAAUCACAUACUCAUCAGGACUGAUGAGACUACAGAGAUAAGUGAUAUG